rnacentral:rRNA from 1 species
AGGAUGAACGCUAGCGGCAGGCUUAAUACAUGCAAGUCGUGGGGCAGCAUGAGUAGCAAUACUUGAUGGCGACCGGCAAACGGGUGCGGAACACGUACACAACCUUCCGAUAAGUGGGGAAUAGCCCAGAGAAAUUUGGAUUAAUACCCCGUAACAUAUAGAGUAGGCAUCUUCUUUAUAUUAUAGCUUCGGCGUCUUAUUGUUGGGUGUGCGUCUGAUUAGGUAGUUGGCGGGGUAACGGCCCACCAAGCCUACGAUCAGUAGCUGAUGUGAGAGCAUAAUCAGCCACACGGGCACUGAGACACGGGCCCACUCCUACGGGAGCAGCGAGUAAGGAAUAUUGGACAAGUGGGACAAAGCCUGAUCCAGCCAUGCCGCGUGAAGGAUUAACGGUCUC